rnacentral:rRNA from 1 species
CACGUAGGGGGCAAGCGUUGUCCGGAUUUAUUGGGCGUAAAGAGCUCGUAGGCGGUUCGGUAAGUCGGGUGUGAAACCUCCAGGCUCAACCUGGAGACGCCACCCGAUACUGCUGUGACUAGAGUCCGGUAGGGGAGCGUGGAAUUCCGGGUGUAGUGGUGGAAUGCGUAGAGAUCCGGAGGAACACCAGCGGCGAAGGCGGCGUCCUGGACUGGUACUGACGCUCAGGAGCGAAAGCGUGGGGAGCGAUCCGG